rnacentral:rRNA from 1 species
AACGAACGCUGGCGGCAUGCCUAACACAUGCAAGUCGAACGAGACCUUCGGGUCUAGUGGCGCACGGGUGCGUAACGCGUGGGAACCUGCCCUUAGGUUCGGAAUAACUCCCCGAAAGGGGGGCUAAUACCGGAUAAUGUCUUCGGACCAAAGAUUUAUCGCCUUUGGAUGGGCCCGCGUUGGAUUCGCUAGUUGGUAGGGUAAAAGCCUACCAAGGCGACGAUCCAUAGCUGGUCUGAGAGGAUGAUCAGCCACACUGGGACUGAGACACGGCCCAGACUCCUACGGGAGGCAGCAGUGGGGAAUAUUGGACAAUGGGCGAAAGCCUGAUCCAGCAAUGCCGCGUGAGUGAUGAAGGCCUUAGGGUUGUAAAGCUCUUUUACCCGGGAUGAUAAUGACAGUACCGGGAGAAUAAGCUCCGGCUAACUCCGUG